AGUGAACGCUGGCGGCAGGCCUAACACAUGCAAGUCGAGCGGCAGCGGGUCCUUCGGGAUGCCGGCGAGCGGCGGACGGGUGAGGAAUGCGUCGGAAUCUGCCUUUUUGUGGGGGAUAACGUAGGGAAACUUACGCUAAUACCGCAUACGACCUACGGGUGAAAGUGGGGGACCGCAAGGCCUCACGCAGAAAGAUGAGCCGACGUCGGAUUAGCUAGUUGGCGGGGUAAAGGCCCACCAAGGCGACGAUCCGUAGCUGGUCUGAGAGGAUGAUCAGCCACACUGGAACUGAGACACGGUCCAGACUCCUACGGGAGGCAGCAGUGGGGAAUAUUGGACAAUGGGCGCAAGCCUGAUCCAGCCAUGCCGCGUGUGUGAAGAAGGCCUUCGGGUUGUAAAGCACUUUUGUCCGGAAAGAAAUCCUGUCGGCUAAUACCCGGCGGGGAUGACGGUGCCGGAAGAAUAAGCACCGGCUAACUUCGUG
rnacentral:rRNA from 1 species